rnacentral:lncRNA from 1 species
GGCUAUUUAUCUGGCUUAUGCUAGGUGAGCAUUGCUUUGCUCCCUUUGUUAGGUGGCGACAAGUUGGUGACUGCACCUUGCAUGGCUUUCAAUGCAACCCAGACGUGUUGGAGAGAUGGCUGGUAGAUGGAAAAUUAAGACAGCUAAACCAUGCUAGAAUUGAUUCUCAAAUCAUAUCUUAAAGGGAAAACAAAGUUGUAAUUUUGUUUCCAUUUUUUCUAUGAACUUGACAACAUGGUCAGACUUGUUUCAUAACGGUCGGAGU